GAUGAAGAACGUAGCGAAAAGCGAUACUUGGUGUGAAUUGCAGAAUCCCGUGAACCAUCGAGUCUUUGAACGCAAGUUGCGCCCGAAGCCAUUAGGCCGAGGGCACGCCUGCCUGGGCGUCACACGUCGUUGCCCCCCCAUCUACUCCUUCGGGAUUGCGGGGGGCGGAUGAUGGCCUCCCGUGCGCCUCGUCGCGCGGUUGGCAUAAAUGCCAAGUCCUCGGCGACGCACGCCACGACAAUCGGUGGUUGCGAAACCUCGGUUGCCCGUCGUGUGCGGUCGUCGCGCAUCGAGGGCUCGAAAAAAUUGCCGGGCUCCGGCUCGGCUUUCAACGCGACCCCAGGUCAGGCGGGGUUACCCGCUGAAUUUAAGCAUAUCAAUAAGCGGAGGA
rnacentral:misc_RNA from 1 species